CAGGUGAUUAGUGGCGAACGGGUGAGUAACACGUGAGUAACCUGCCCCUGACUCUGGGAUAAGCCCGGGAAACUGGGUCUAAUACUGGAUAUGCACCGUAGGCCGCAUGGCUUUUGGUGGAAAGAUUUUUUGGUCAGGGAUGGACUCGCGGCCUAUCAGCUUGUUGGUGAGGUAAUGGCUCACCAAGGCGACGACGGGUAGCCGGCCUGAGAGGGUGACCGGCCACACUGGGACUGAGACACGGCCCAGACUCCUACGGGAGGCAGCAGUGGGGAAUAUUGCACAAUGGGCGAAAGCCUGAUGCAGCGACGCCGCGUGAGGGAUGACGGCCUUCGGGUUGUAAACCUCUUUCAGUAGGGAAGAAGCGAAAGUGACGGUACCUGCAGAAGAAGCGCCGGCUAACUACGUGCCAGCAGCCGCGGUAAUACGUAGGGCGCAAGCGUUAUCCGGAAUUAUUGGGCGUAAAGAGCUCGUAGGCGGUUUGUCGCGUCUGCCGUGAAAGUCCGAGGCUCAACCUCGGAUCUGCGGUGGGUACGGGCAGACUAGAGUGAUGUAGGGGAGACUGGAAUUCCUGGUGUAGCGGUGAAAUGCGCAGAUAUCAGGAGGAACACCGAUGGCGAAGGCAGGUCUCUGGGCAUUAACUGACGCUGAGGAGCGAAAGCAUGGGGAGCGAACAGGAUUAGAUACCCUGGUAGUCCAUGCCGUAAACGUUGGGCACUAGGUGUGGGGGACAUUCCACGUUUUCCGCGCCGUAGCUAACGCAUUAAGUGCCCCGCCUGGGGAGUACGGCCGCAAGGCUAAAACUCAAAGGAAUUGACGGGGGCCCGCACAAGCGGCGGAGCAUGCGGAUUAAUUCGAUGCAACGCGAAGAACCUUACCAAGGCUUGACAUGUGCCAGACCGCCGUGGAAACACGGUUUCCCCUUUGGGGCUGGUUCACAGGUGGUGCAUGGUUGUCGUCAGCUCGUGUCCUGAAAUGUUGGGUUAAGUCCCGCAACGAGCGCAACCCUCGUUCUAUGUUGCCAGCGGAUUAUGCCGGGGACUCAUAGGAGACUGCCGGGGUCAACUCGGAGGAAGGUGGGGACGACGUCAAUCAUCAUGCCCCUUAUGUCUUGGGCUUCACGCAUGCUACAAUGGCCGGUACAAUGGGUUGCGAUACUGUGAGGUGGAGCUAUCCCCAAAAACCGGUUCCAUUUCGAA
rnacentral:rRNA from 1 species